GUGAGGAAUAUUGCGCAAUGGAGGCAACUCUGACGCAGCCAUGCCGCGUGCAGGAAGAAGGCGCUACGCGUUGUAAACUGCUUUUAACCGGGAAGAAACCCCAGGACGUGUCCUGGGUUGACGGUACCGGAGGAAUAAGCACCGGCUAACUUCGUGCCAGCAGCCGCGGUAAUACGAAGGGUGCAAGCGUUAUCCGGAUUCAUUGGGUUGAAAGGGUGCGUAGGCGGAGCGUUAAGUCAGUGGUGAAAUGCUGCAGCUUAACUGUGGACUUGCCAUUGGUACUGGCGCUCUUGAGUGCGCUUGAAGUGGGCGGAAUGUGCCGUGUAGCGGUGAAAUGCUUAGAUAUGGCACAGAACACCAAUUGCGAAGGCAGCUCACUAAGGCGAUACUGACGCUGAGGCACGAAAGCGUGGGGAUCGAACAGGAUUAGAAACCCGGGUAGUCC
rnacentral:rRNA from 1 species